GCCUCCCUACAUGGAUUUCUGUCUUCCCUCCUCCCAAACACUGGCCCAGCUGCCUCUGGGUAAAGCAGGAUACAGGAACAGAAGAAAAGAUCCCCACAUAGGGCCCCGAGCCCAGCCUGGCAUCCGGAAGUGAUGGGACCAAUUGUCAAGAUCUCAGUUUUUGUCAAUGUUAAAGCUUCUAGCCAGCAUUUACACUCUUCUCUUUCACCUUCAUCAAGA